rnacentral:rRNA from 1 species
AGCUCUCCGAGUGGUGUGGACGUUUAUUGGGCCUAAGCAUCCGUAGCUGGUCGAACAAGUCCCCUGUUAAACCCACCGAUUUAAUCGUUGGCUUGCGGGGGAUACUGCUCGGCUAGGGGACGAGAGAGGCAGACGGUAUUCCCGGGUAGGGUGAAAUCCUAUAAUCCCGAGAAGACCACCAGUGGCGAAGGCUGUCUGCUAGAACGCGCCCGACGGUGAGGGAUGAAAGCUGGGGGAGCGAACC